CCUACGGGAGGCUGCAGUGGGGAAUAUUGGGCAAUGGAGGCAACUCUGACCCAGCAACGCCGCGUGAAUGAUGAAUGCCUUCGGAUUGUAAAGCUCUUUUCUAAAGGAAGAAAAAAGUGACGGUACCUUAUGAAUAAGCGUCCUCUAACUACGUGCCAGCAGCCGCGGUAAUACGUAGGAGGCGAGCGUUAUCCGGAUUGACUGGUCUUCAAGGUUGCGUAGGUUGUUUGGCAAGUUAGUAGCGUAACUCCAAGGCUCAACCUUGGAACUACUACUAAUAAUGUUGGACUUGAGUGCAGGGGGGGCAAGCGGAAUUCGUAGUGUAGCGGUGGAAUGCGUAGAUAUUAGGAGGAACACCAGUGGCGAAGGCGGGUUGCUAGACUGUAACUGACACUGAGGCACGAAAGCGUGGGGAGCAAACAGGAUUAGAUACCCGAGUAGUC
rnacentral:rRNA from 1 species